UACAGAGGUCUCAAGCGUUGUUCGGAUUCACUGGGCGUAAAGGGUUCGUAGGCGGCGCGGUAAGUCGGGCGUGAAAUCUCGGAGCUUAACUCCGAAACUGCAUUCGAUACUGCCGUGCUUGAGGACUGGAGAGGAGACUGGAAUUUACGGUGUAGCGGUGAAAUGCGUAGAUAUCGUAAGGAAGACCAGUGGCGAAGGCGGGUCUCUGGACAGUUCCUGACGCUGAGGCACGAAAGUCAGGGGAGCAAACGGG
rnacentral:rRNA from 1 species